CUCUUACAAAUAAGUGCAGAAUGGUCUUAAACAUGAAGUCAAAUGGAUCAUAGUACUAAUGCUAAAUCUUUUAUCCAGUGUAUAUUCAUUAAAAUCUGUAAUGUCCAAAAACAAAUGACUGUUAUUACAUAUGUUUCUUUGAUAAAUCCAGAUUAUUCAUCUAUAAUAAAACAGAAUUGUAAAUUUCACCUCUUAGCAAAAAUGGGUACAAAUAUUUUGGUUUCAUUUCUUAAAGACUGGCUGCUCUCAAGCUUUAUUAAUUUAUGCAUUUUUGGUUUGCAGACAUUGGAGGGCUCCGGCCCAGCCCACCAACUGUCUCCCUCUCUCUGACUCUUAAGUGUUAGUGUCGUAACUUUCAGCUUCAUCUAACAUCAAAGUUCAUUACAGAUAGUUUCAUCUGAAGCUCAGAUUCUGAUUUUAAUACAGAAACACAGAAAUGUUUGCUGGAACUGCGUCACUCUGCUCCACUUUGCUGUUUCUCAGCGUCUUCAUGUUUGUCUCUUCAGUCCCAUAAUUCCACAGUCCAGCGACACGUGGGCAAAUCUUCCUUAUCUGAAACAGGAGAGGGAUGGAAACCACGGCGGCCAAAAGAACAAGGAGGGGGCUCCUGUCGCAGACCUGUCUCCUCCUGACAGCGCGUCAUGGCACAGUCCCGCCCCAUUCCACACCUGAACACGGCCUCCCUCGUAGCACCGCCAGAUGCAGGCAGAGCGACACCCCUGUCCUGCUGUGGAUUGCGGACAUCGCCUCCCACUGUCGCUGUUCCUGCCGUCGGGACUGGAUCGCCGUGUUCCGCUGGCCGGUCCGUCGGUGAACGACUCGUGGCAGCCCACAGUCGGGCAGCAGGUCCUUCGACACAUAUGCUGGCUUGCACGCGUUUCGUUUCCUCCUGCUCACCUUUCGUGCGUCGCCUUCCCGUCUCUGCGCCCACUAUUCCUCUUAACAGAUCAGAAAAUCAUCACAGCUGAUAUUGGAGACAGUGUCAUUCUGCCAUGUCGAGUUACAAACAAGAUCACAGCUGUAAAGUGGAUCAAACACUACCUGGGAGAGAAAAUUGUCUUUUUGUACCAGGAUAAUAAAGUUGAUUCAGAUAACCAGAAUUCAUUUUAUAAGAACCGGGUGGAUCUGCAGGACAGACAUAUGAAGGAUGGAGACGUGUCUAUAAUUCUGAAGGAUGUGACGAUUUAUGAUAAUGGAACAUACCACUGUCAUGUUAAAGUAGCAGGAACAAACUCAUGGAAAUACAUCAGCUACAUCUACCUUCAUGUUGAUCCUCCAGGUCGAUCAGGAGGACUGGGUGGAUCUAUUGGACUGAUUGUAGGUGUGGUAGUUGCUGUUAUGGUUGUUUCUCUUUGUCUUUCUUUCUGUUUCUGUACAGCUCUGAGAAAUAUUGUCACACGCUAUCUUCAGACCAGAGCACAACCGCGAGUCAUAUGAUCUAAACAGACGAAAUUUAAGGUUGUACUUUUGUUUCCUUUGCCUGUGUGAAAGACACUGAGAUCAUUUUGUGAGUAAUGUGAUACAGUUUAUUAAAACAGUAUGUCUGUAUGUGGUUUUGCUAAUAGUUAAUUUUGCUUAAUUACAAUCAAAAUAUGCUCAAGAAUAAACCUGAUAAAAAGAAUGAAUGAAAAUGUAGUUUGAGUUGUGUUAUUAUUUUAAUACCAUGAUUUUGUUUUUCUGGGUUGGUCUGAUUCUCCUUCAGCCUUGGCAGAUUAGUCUCAGUAUGUGAGACUAACUGGGGAAGAAUAUGAGACAGAUGAAAGUGUGGCAGCCUCUGGCACAUUCAAAAUAUGGAAUAUGUCAUUUUGCUAAUAGCUGGACAUGCUUAACUCGAAUCAGCAUAUACUCAGGAAUGAAUCUAAUCAGAAUGAUAAAUGAAAGGACUGAUUUUAA
ensembl:lncRNA